UACGGGGGGGGGUAAGCGUUGUUCGGAAUUACUGGGCGUAAAGGGCUCGUAGGCGGCCAACUAAGUCGGACGUGAAAUCCCUCAGCUUAACUGGGGAACUGCGUCCGAUACUGGAUGGCUUGGAUUUGGGAGAGGGAUGCGGAAUUCCAGGUGUAGCGGUGAAAUGCGUAGAUAUCUGGAGGAACACCGGUGGCGAAGGCGGCAUCCUGGACCGGCAUUGACGCUGAGGCGCGAAAGCUAGGGGAGCAAACGGGG
rnacentral:rRNA from 1 species